AUUGAACGCUGGCGGCGGGCUUAACACAUGCAAGUCGAGCGGGGUGAUGGUGCUUGCACUAUCACUUAGCGGCGGACGGGUGAGUAAUGCUUAGGAAUCUGCCUAUUAGUGGGGGACAACAUCUCGAAAGGGAUGCUAAUACCGCAUACGUCCUACGGGAGAAAGCAGGGGAUCACUUGUGACCUUGCGCUAAUAGAUGAGCCUAAGUCGGAUUAGCUAGUUGGUGGGGUAAAGGCCUACCAAGGCGACGAUCUGUAGCGGGUCUGAGAGGAGGAUCCGCCACACUGGGACUGAGACACGGCCCAGACUCCUACGGGAGGCAGCAGUGGGGAAUAUUGGACAACGGGGGGAACCCUGAUCCAGCCAUGCCGCGUGUGUGAAGAAGGCCUUAUGGUUGUAAAGCACUUUAAGCGAGGAGGAGGCUCUUUUGGUUAAUACCCAAGAUGAGUGGACGUUACUCGCAGAAUAAGCACCGGCUAACUCUGUGCCAGCCGCCGCAGUAA
rnacentral:rRNA from 1 species